rnacentral:misc_RNA from 1 species
GAUGAAGAACGUAGCGAAAUGCGAUAAGAAAUGUGAAUUGCAGAAUUCAGUGAAUCAUCGAAUCUUUGAACGCACAUUGCGCCCGCCAGUAUUCUGGCGGGCAUGCCUGUUCGAGCGUCAUUUCAACCAUCAAGCCCCCGGGCUUGUGUUGGGGACCUGCGGCUGCCGCAGGCCCUGAAAAGCAGUGGCGGGCUCGCUGUCACACCGAGCGUAGUAGAUUUUAUCUCGCUCUGGGCGUGCUGCGGGUUCCGGCCGUUAAACCACCCUUUUAACCCAAGGUUGACCUCGGAUCAGGUAGGAAGACCCGCUGAACUUAAGCAUAUCAAUAAGCGGAGGA